rnacentral:rRNA from 1 species
GACGAACGCUGGCGGCGUGCUUAACACAUGCAAGUCGAACGGAAAGGCCCUGCUUUUGUGGGGUGCUCGAGUGGCGAACGGGUGAGUAACACGUGAGUAACCUGCCCUUGACUUUGGGAUAACUUCAGGAAACUGGGGCUAAUACCGGAUAGGAGCUCCUGCUGCAUGGUGGGGGUUGGAAAGUUUCGGCGGUUGGGGAUGGACUCGCGGCUUAUCAGCUUGUUGGUGGGGUAGUGGCUUACCAAGGCUUUGGCGGGUAGCCGGCCUGAGAGGGUGACCGGCCACAUUGGGACUGAGAUACGGCCCAGACUCCUACGGGAGGCAGCAGUGGGGAAUAUUGCACAAUGGGCGGAAGCCUGAUGCAGCAGCGCCGCGUGCGGGAUGACGGCCUUCGGGUUGUAAACCGCUUUCGCCUGUGACGAAGCGUGAGUGACGGUAAUGGGUAAAGAAGCACCGGCUAACUACGUG